CAACUCUCAACAACGGAUAUCUUGGCUCCCGUAUCGAUGAAGAACGCAGCGAAAUGCGAUACGUAGUGUGAAUUGCAGAAUUCCGUGAACCAUCGAAUCUUUGAACGCAAAUUGCGCCCGAGGCUUCGGCCAAGGGCAUGUCUGCCUCAGCGUCGGCUC
rnacentral:rRNA from 1 species